rnacentral:rRNA from 1 species
UGGGGAAUUUUGCACAAUGGGCGAAAGCCUGAUGCAGCAACGCCGCGUGUGUGAUGAAGGUCUUCGGAUUGUAAAGCACUUUCGACCGGGACGAAAACCCGUUGGCUAACAUCCAACGGCUUGACGGUACCGGGAGAAGAAGCACCGGCUAACUCUGUGCCAGCAGCCGCGGUAAUACAGAGGGUGCAAGCGUUGUUCGGAAUUAUUGGGCGUAAAGCGCGUGUAGGCGGCUUGGCAAGUCGGGUGUGAAAUCCCUCAGCUUAACUGAGGAAGUGCGCCCGAAACUGCUUUGCUUGAGUACCGGAGAGGAUGGCGGAAUGCCCCAAGUAGAGGUGAAAUUCGUAGAUAUGGGGCGGAACACCGGUGGCGAAGGCGGCCAUCUGGACGGAUACUGACGCUGAGACGCGAAAGCAUGGGUAGCAAACAGG